AGCGAACGCUGGCGGCGUGCCUAACACAUGCAAGUCGAACGUGAAAGGGAGCAAUCCCCCGUAAGGUGCCGAAGGGGGGAGUAAAACUAAGUAAACCUACCCAGGAACCGGGAAAAACCGGCCGAAGGGCGGGCUAAUACGGGUAGGGGCGAGGAAAUCGGAAAUUGGUUUUUCGGGGAAAGGAGGCCGGUAAAAGGGCCUUGGUUCUGGGAUGACCUUGCGUCCCAUCAGCUAGUUGGUGAGGUAAAAGCUUACCAAGGCAAUGACGGGUAGCUGGUCUGAGAGGACGAUCAGCCACACUGGAACUGAAACACGGUCCAGACUCCUGCGGGAGGCAGCAGUGGGGAAUCUUGCGCAAUGGACGAAAGUCUGACGCAGCAACGCCGCGUGAGUGAAGAAGGCCUUCGGGUUGUAAAGCUCUGUCGAGUGGGACGAAAAUGCUUGGAGUUCACAGCUCCAGGAACUGACGGUACCACUAAAGGAAGCACCGGCUAACUCCGUG
rnacentral:rRNA from 1 species